rnacentral:tRNA from 1 species
CCUGGUAGCUCAGACGGUAAAGCGUCUGCCUACAAUGUGGGAGACCCAGGUUCAAACCCUGGGUCAGGA